GACGGCCGCGGGGAGGGCGCUCCAGUUCUGUCGGCGCCAGUGGGCCGCUCUGGACCCCUCUGGAACUUUCCGCUGGGCUCUAGGUGGGCGGGGCCGCACCCCCGCCAUCGCGUUUAAAGGAGGAAAGUGACUGUGCAGGUUUACUUGAGCAGUGGCGGCUCUGGGUUCUGGUGUGAGACUCCUUUUCUGUGUUGUAAAUUUGGCUGGAAAUAGAGAUGGACGUUGCUCUGCUUAACACUGAGUUCUCAGUCUGGAAAGUUAAAGACAUUUGAGUUUUAGGAAUAAAAGCAAGAUGAACUGAAGAAAAUGAGUCUUUUUCCAAAGGAGAUAGAAGAUGGGGAAGAUGAGAUAUCAGAAGAUAAGGUCAAUGGAAGUAGAGGUGAGACCCUGUCCAAAAGAGACCUGAUAAGUGGGAGAAGGAAAUGGCCAAACAGAAGGCUUCCCUGAAACCAAAAAACAGAAACUGGACGGUAGCUUGUUUGCUGUGCUUUAAAGCGCAGGACAAAACAUGGAGAAGCGCGUAUUGGUUAAGUGCAGGGAGGGCAUCUGUGGACAAGGCGAAAGCCCAGUUGAACCGCUUAGAACUUUCAAACUGUUUGUUGGAAACCUGAAUUUCAACAAAACUGCUGCUGAAUUGAACACUGGUCCCAGCGAACGUUUUGCUAAAAACGAUCUCCCAGCUGUUGGUGUCAGAGUUGGCUCGUCCAGAUCACCUAGACCUGAUUUUAGAAGUUAUCCAACCUUUCUUCCAGCAGGCAUAAAAAAAUGAAGGGGGCAUCAUAAACGGACAGUCACAAGUUUCUAGAAAACUAUAGUGGUGUCAUGAGAAAUGAAGGCUUAUCCUACCAAGUUCAAGAUUGAAAACUGGAAGAAUUCAGUCAUAGAUUAUCUCCACUCUUCGCUCUCCAGGGCUGACUCCAGUAAAACAGCACCGUUGAUGACCUUCCUGGACAGGUGGCAAAACAAGCAAUGAAUUAACCCGUUAGAACUAUGUUGUAACUGGGGCAGCCAGGUGGCUCAGCUGGUUAAAUGUCCGACUUCAGCUCUGGUCAUAAUCUAACGGUUGUGGGAUUGAGCCCCACA